rnacentral:rRNA from 1 species
UAUAGAUGGAUCCGCGCUGCAUUAGCUAGUUGGUAAGGUAACGGCUUACCAAGGCAACGAUGCAUAGCCGACCUGAGAGGGUGAUCGGCCACACUGGAACUGAGACACGGUCCAGACUCCUACGGGAGGCAGCAGUAGGGAAUCUUCCGCAAUGGGCGAAAGCCUGACGGAGCAACGCCGCGUGAGUGAUGAAGGUCUUCGGAUCGUAAAACUCUGUUAUUAGGGAAGAACAUAUGUGUAAGUAACUGUGCACAUCUUGACGGUACCUAAUCAGAAAGCCACGGCUAACUACGUGCCAGCAGCCGCGGUAAUACGUAGGUGGCAAGCGUUAUCCGGAAUUAUUGGGCGUAAAGCGCGCGUAGGCGGUUUUUUAAGUCUGAUGUGAAAGCCCACGGCUCAACCGUGGAGGGUCAUUGGAAACUGGAAAACUUGAGUGCAGAAGAGGAAAGUGGAAUUCCAUGUGUAGCGGUGAAAUGCGCAGAGAUAUGGAGGAACACCAGUGGCGAAGGCGACUUUCUGGUCUGUAACUGACGCUGAUGUGCGAAAGCGUGGGGAUCAAACAGGAUUAGAUACCCUGGUAGUCCACGCCGUAAACGAUGAGUGCUAAGUGUUAGGGGGUUUCCGCCCCUUAGUGCUGCAGCUAACGCAUUAAGCACUCCGCCUGGGGAGUACGACCGCAAGGUUGAAACUCAAAGGAAUUGACGGGGACCCGCACAAGCGGUGGAGCAUGUGGUUUAAUUCGAAGCAACGCGAAGAACCUUACCAAAUCUUGACAUCCUUUGACAACUCUAGAGAUAGAGCCUUCCCCUUCGGGGGACAAAGUGACAGGUGGUGCAUGGUUGUCGUCAGCUCGUGUCGUGAGAUGUUGGGUUAAGUCCCGCAACGAGCGCAACCCUUAAGCUUAGUUGCCAUCAUUAAGUUGGGCACUCUAAGUUGACUGCCGGUGACAAACCGGAGGAAGGUGGGGAUGACGUCAAAUCAUCAUGCCCCUUAUGAUUUGGGCUACACACGUGCUACAAUGGACAAUACAAAGGGCAGCGAAACCGCGAGGUCAAGCAAAUCCCAUAAAGUUGUUCUCAGUUCGGAUUGUAGUCUGCAACUCGACUACAUGAAGCUGGAAUCGCUAGUAAUCGUAGAUCAGCAUGCUACGGUGAAUACGUUCCCGGGUCUUGUACACACCGCCCGUCACACCACGAGAGUUUGUAACACCCGAAGCCGGUGGAGUAACCUUUUAGGAGCUAGCCGUCGAAGGUGGGACAAAUGAUUGGGGUGAAGUCGUAACAAGGUAGCCG